CUAGGCAGCUCUAACUUGCAUGACCAGCACUUACGUAGCAGAUCAACAGGUCUUAGUGCCUUGUUAGCAUUUACGAAACAGUCUUUGCAGAAGAUCAUUUCCUUUUCAGCAACUAUCAAUGUGAGAUAUUGAAUACUCCUCUUUAAUUUUCCAGCAUAUUUGCCUUUACUUCCUGUUUUCUUGUGUUCCAACAAAUAUGUUGAUUGUUUUGUUUGGUGUUUGGAAUUCUUUGUGUCUUUUCAGCAGUAACGUAAGGUCAUUUCUGAGGUCAUAGAAAGCCCUAUGCACACUGAACAGAAGCAGUGUAAGAUGCUGCCAAUAAUGUGGUACUUGGGUUCCUGCAUCGAGAAUGAGACAGGAGUGAAGGGCUCAAAAGAGGAUGUGUGUGUGGCCCAGAGAAUAGGUGCUGUCCCUGGCUUCUACCCCGUGGAGAUCCUGUGGAAAACAAGAGCUGGGAGAGUUCCUGUGACUGGUGUAUUAAAAUGGCAGCCUUCCAGAUGAAUAACAAGCAUUGCCAUGCUUUGCUGUCUUUCUAGAUGAAUGGAACCCCCUGAAGCGCCCCUCUCCCCUUCAUCGUGUCAGAGGCUGUGUGUGCCCUCCCAGUGCCUGGACGUCGCCAGAUCUGUGUCCCACCUCACAGGGGCUCUCUGACCCCCUUUAUUUCCCUCCCCAUGUAAUUUGAUCUUCUUGCUUUCCACAUACCAGGCUUUCGUGGCUCUUCGUCUUCCUCUGGUCCUGUCUUCCACUCCAUUAUUGCUUCUCAUAUUUCUACAUUGCGAAGACAAGCAGAGAUGGGAUAUGUUGUUGUUAUAUUGCAUGCUGUUAACAGCUUUGAUCGGUAGACAAGCAUGGAUCUUACUGAAGCUUCUGGUUCUGCUAGCUGUAUAACUGGAGCUCCAUAUAUUCCCUGUUUAGCUUUCUUCUUCUUUUUCAUUUGAUUCUACUUAAAUCUGUAAAUACCUAUGCAUUUAUGCCUAGGACAUUCUUUGAGAAAUUGUGGAACUGAUUGGAUGUAUUAUUCAAAAGUUCCCACUUUACAACCAAAAAGACAAAUGGCACCAACCUAUGAAUAAAACCUCACUUCAUUUGGCUA